ACAAAAGAACAAUCAGGUAUAACAGUCUUUUUUUAUUCUCCAUUCCAAGCCAUCAAUGAACAUUCCUUACUGUUUGCACCAUUAUAAAAGGCCAAAACUUUUCAUCCAUUAUUUUUUCAUAUAGUUAAGGAAAGGAUAUGUGAAAGUCUAAAUUAGAUCACUAUUGAAUGCUAUUCCGAUAAACCAUUUUUAAAAUUCAUCAGGCUCACACACAAAGACAAGACUACUCAUUCCAUUCAAAAUUUCCAAUGUCAAUGUCACGUUUUUUUUCUCUGUUGUCCAGUUUUUUUUCUCCUGGUUUUCCUAUACUCAUCCCUCAAAUUUUGCUGGCUUUCAUCUCACCACAAAUGCUGCAAACACAGGCUGCCCCUCUGCAAUGAUGUGUGGGGCACAAAGACUCAACACUGCAUCCAUGUCUCACAUCUCUUCCUACAUGUACCUCACUCCCCCUCUCUACACUUGAGUGGUUGUAUUUCCUUUUAGUUAUCUGUAUACUCCUUUGCCACAACGGACAUUUUUAUAUUUAUCUUCAGAAGCUUGUGUUGGAGGUUUUUUCGGAUCAUUAGGGACUUCACAUUUAUAUUAGCUUCAGACCAAGUCAACAGCCUGACUUAUUGCCUCACCGAUUGCCUCAGGAAUCUGGAUGUCGCCAGUCAGGUUCAAGUCCUUUUUUAAUUCACAGUCAAUUUGCACUUCAACGGCAUCCUCUGGCUUGUCAAUGCCGUUGACACAUUCCUUUUGCUGUGGCUCCGGGGCAGACACGGCAGCUAGCUUGGCUGCCUGCUCCUGACACUCCCCAUUGACCUCAGGGGCAGAAGGCUCAGCAGUAGCCUCCGCUGCGGAAACAUCUUCCCUGUUGUCCAGCACAGCAUCCUGUGGCCCAGCGCUGGCCUCCUCUGCAGCAGCAGGUGCAGCAGAUUCUGAAAUGAUGAUCUCCGGGAUGGGUUCUGCAAUGUCGGCAGCCUCUGACUCUGCUGCCUCUACUGCAUCAGCAGCUUCAGGUUCAAGCUCCGCUACGGAUUCUUCUACAGGUAGGGGGAGCUCUUUAGCGGCUGGUUCUAGGACGGAUUCUGUUUCUGCGGCUGCCUCUGGAUCUGCGGCUGCCUCUGACUCUGACACAGCUUCUGCAAUUGAUGUAGGCUCCUCCUCCAGUGUGGGUGAAGCUGCUUCUGCCUCUAUUGGUGCCUCGGGCACAGCCUCAGGUUCUGUAGUGUCUGCCACCUCUGUGACUUGUUCUGUAGCCUCAGAAUCCUUUUCUGGUGCUGCGGUUAGUUCCACAGAGGCUGCCGCAGGCUCUUCUGAUGCAGGCUCUUUUGGUGCUGCCUCAGGCUUUUCUGGUGCAGGCUCUUCUGGAGCAGGCUCUUCCACUGCAGGCUCUUUUGGUGCUGCCACAGGCUCUUUUGGUGCAGGUUCUUUUGGUGCUGCCGCAGGCUCUUCUGGUACAGGCUCUUCCACUGCAGGCUCUUUUGGUGUAGCCACUGUUUCGUCUAGUGCCGCUGGUUCUUCCGGUGCCUCUGUUUUAUCUGGUGCUGUUACAGGUUCCUCUGGUGAUGCUGCUGAUUCCUCAGCUGCUGCAGGUUCUUCUGGUGCUGCAGCUGGUGCUGGCUCCUCUGGUGCUGCAGCUGGUUCUUCUGAAGCUACUGGUUUUUCUGCUGUUGGCGCUGAUUCUGCCAUUGCUGCCACAGGUUCAUCUGGUACAGUUGCUGGCUCUGCGGUGGCCCCCUUGGCCACAGCAUCUAUAGCUGACAGGGCCUCUUCUGUCACAUCUUUGAUGGUUACCGCUGCCGACUCCACUGCUCCCUCUACCGCAGCAGACACCUUAGGAGCAUCCUUCGCUGCCAACUCAGCGACCGGAGCUGGUGCUUUGCUCUCCACGGCAUGGGCCAUGGCCUCAACGGCACUCACAGCAGCCACAGUAAUCUCCUCCUUCUUGUCCUUUGGGUCGCUGACAUCGUACCCCUUCUUCCUCUUGCUCAGCUUGCCUCCCAUGGUGUCUCCUAAAAGUGAAUAAUAAAAUCAGAAUGACUUAACAAGUGUGACAGGUUGUUGCGUUUGAUCAUCUAUGCAUAGUAUAUAUCCAUUUCCUUUAAUUACCCACCACAAACCUCAAUACCAAGUUAAAGCGGAAUAAAAUUCAAAGCAUUGCAAUCAUGCCAACAUAGUGCCGCCUGUCUCCGUUGUAAGAAAGCACUCAGUCGGGCUUUAAAGGGGGAAGGCAUUUCAAUCUGGAGACCACACUCUGCCAAAUACUAUUGGCUAAAAAACAAAUGACCACUGCAUGGGAACUACUCCAAGUUCUAAACUAUCCAGUGCUCUUGUAUAAACCACAGGACAAGACACCCUCUCUGGAGUCUUAGGUAAUGUUAUUAUGUGCCAAGUGAGCCUCCC
rnacentral:lncRNA from 1 species